rnacentral:rRNA from 1 species
UACGUAGGCGGUUUACUAAGUCAGAUGUGAAAGCCCCGGGCUUAACCUGGGAACUGCAUUUGAUACUGGUAGGCUAGAGUAUGGUAGAGGGGGGUAGAAUUCAUAGUGUAGCAGUGAAAUGCGUAGAUAUUAUGAGGAAUACCAGUGGCGAAGGCGGCCCCCUGGACCAAUACUGACGCUGAGGUACGAAAGCGUGGGUAGCGAACAGGAUUAGAUACCCUGGUAGUCC